UAGGGAAUCUUCCACAGUGGACGCAAGUCUGAUGGAGCAACGCCGCGUGAGUGAAGAAGGGUUUCGGCUCGUAAAGCUCUGUUGUUAAAGAAGAACGUGGGUAAGAGUAACUGUUUACCCAGUGACGGUAUUUAACCAGAAAGCCACGGCUAACUACGCGCCAG
rnacentral:rRNA from 1 species